UGGGCUUUGAGGAAAGGUCAGAGAGAUCUGAAUAUUUUUCAUCUCGGCAUCCUACUUUGUUUGGUGGUGCUAGAAUUGAAGGUAUUUGUCAAAGUCAGUGAGAAGGAGAUGUUUUCAUUCUGCAUCAGUAUUGCUCUCAGCCUUACCCUGGGAAAAGACUGAUUUUUCUAAGAAAUGAGGGGGACUGAGUUUUUGCUUGCUAGACUGCAGAUUUCUGCUUAAAUAUACUAAAUUUAGUGUGUUGUGUGAUGGGAAGAUAAGAACUGUCCACUUAAGAUAGGGUCAGCAGUUUGGUGCAGCUUGCACAAUCUGAAAUCUCAUCAUCUUUUUUUCUUAGUGUUAAGUAACAGACCACAGGUCAGGUCAGUUUUGAUCCUACUGUCUACUUGAGAAUUUUAAUCAAGAAGAAACUAGUUUCAGGAUUUCACACAGAGCGGAACUUCCUUUGAAGCCUGUGUGUAACUGUAACUAUUCAUUACAUUCCUUCCACUGGAUAGAUUUGCACCAUUGUUGCAUACUUAAAAAUUACAAAGAGUUACAGAGCUGAUGAGGCAAAUUUCUUUAAGCUACUGGUCUCCAUCAAGUGCUCCAGUGCAGCUUUGUACAGAGGACCAUGAAAGAGGAAAGAGAACUCACAAGGAUGCCUGGGAGAAAUGACUGCUGUUUUGCAUGACCAGAUGAACUAAAUGCAAAAAUCUAAUUUCACUUGAAGAGACGGUAGUGCACAUGGACAGCUAUGAGUGUUGGACAUCAUUGUAAAACAGAACUCCGUCCAGAUGAGAGCGACAAUGAAAAAUCGCAAUAAAAAGUAACCUGGUGAGUUAACAAAAUUCACCCCAAAGCUGAUGACAAUCAACAUCCUUGCAGACAGAAGAUCUAGAAUCAGUUGAGAGUUAAAGAUGUUGAGUGUAAAGAAUUGCUAAUGAGAGAGCUUGAGGACUUGCCUGGGUUUAUGUAUGAAUAAAUUCCCAAGCUGCUGGAAUGGAAUAUUAAAAAGAAACCAUUCUGUAGUGGAAAGGCGGUAUCGAGCUUCUAUGCAGAAAAUGAAAAGGGGCAGACAAGAAGGGUAACGAAGCAAGUUUCUCAUACUAGGAACGUGGCAAGGACUCAUAAGGCUGCCUAAGCUGCUGGAGAGAUCAUUUUCAAGCCUUCUCUUGGUCCAAGAUCUGAGCAGUGUGGUGGUCACAGCCACCUGGAGCCUCUGCUACAGCGCCUCCCUGCUGAGCUCCCCUUUCCAGAGCAGUGGGCUGAAUCCAAAAGGUGCUCUGUAUAUGAGGCAGCAUUCCCAGGCAUGGCAGAAGGUAAAAAACACCCAACCUGCACCAAGCCAGCCAACCCUAUCUUUGCUAAGGCACAAGGCUCUGAGUCGGACAGGCAUGUUGUGGCCCCAACCCCCCAAGAAACGAUGAUUCCACUGCAGGAAAACCUGACCAGGAGAUAGCACAGAAUAGGAAGAGGCUCUGAGGAUGCAGACUUCAUCCAGCCAACCCCGGGGCCAUUGUACUUUUCCUGUGGGUGUGGAUGUUCACUCUGGAGGCUUUGGAACAGGUGUCUCUGGGGUGGAAGGGAUUUCUCCUGCUGCAUUCCUGCACACGCGUUCUCUUGGCCAGAACUGUCUGCAGAGCAAACUCCAUCUUUGCCACGAGAGUGCUAAAGUUAUAGGUAUGCCUGGCGUAACAAAGGACCAUAAAAAUAAGACCCUUUCUGGGCUGCUGGCUCCCCCCUCCACCCAUUAUAAAUUGAGUCCCAGAAUCCCUUGGAAAAGAAGCAGGGGACCUACACAGCUCUCUUCCUCCCACUGGGAAUUGGAGUGUUCUCAUUAUACUUUGAAGUAAGUCCUGCAAAACCCAGAGACUCCAUGUCCCAAAAAGGUGAAGGCAAGUGUGUCCUUCACAAAGCAGCAAUUAGUAUCGUUAAUAAAUAAGUGAGGUGAAAGCCAGGGGAUAAAACUGCCUUCUUUUUUGUCUUCUGCCCCAUGAGGGAGUGUUUGCUGGGGUUUGUCUCUGUCAUAAUCUCUCUUGCAGUGUUCGGUAACAUGCUCGGCAGCCCUCCCUCGCCCUGCAGUAUGUCUGGCCAAGCAGAGAAGCCUGAACCUGCCUCAGAUUGCAGCAUCAUGGAGACUCAGUCUGUCUGGCUUUCAGCCCAGGGACCCUCAUUCUGUCAGGGAAAGGGGCUCAGAUUUGAGGCAGCAGAAGAAUGGGAGUUGUACCUUCUGAUCAUCAGCCAUAAAGCCUUGCACUGUGAAAGGCGGGAAAGAGGGGGUCUCUCUCUCCACUCCAAACUGCCUCAACAUUAAAGGCUUGAGUAUUUCAGGCAGGCUGUGACCAGAGGCACAUGAGGAUUCCACUCCCCAUGAAGCUGCACUGUCACGAGAUUACAGAGGGAUAAAUUAUAAAUCCCUU